GUAACUCUGAAACAAAUUUUAUAAAAAUUGUGAAAUAUAAGUCUUUACAUGCCCCUGUUCCCUAUGAUUAUGUUAGUAAAGAUUUACGCUCAUUAUAAAGAAUAUGGCAUUAAUAGUGUGACUCAGGUAGGAAAAGAAAUUUACCGAGAUAUUUAAUUUCUGAGAUGAUUAUGACAUACCAUGUCAGCGCAGUUUUGGAAGUUCGGCUAAUUUGAAAAUUUUAGUAAUUUUCUGUAAAGUGAUUACAGGCUCCUUGAGCAGAUGCUGACAAAGUAUAUAUAUUCUAAGCCUUGUAUGAUAUGUGUUUUAUGUUGCAGUAGUAAGCUGCCCCUGAUUUGCAUUGUUCAUCCUGUAGUUUGAUUUCUAUGAUGAAUGAAACAAAGUUCUGCUCAGAUUUUUAAACUGUUAAAUAUAAAAGUCAUCAGUGUCACAUCAUGAUAUGGUUUAUGCUGCCCUGAUUGGUAUAAUAUUUAGUAGUCCUGGCUUCUGUAUAUUUCAUUGGGUUUGAAUCCUCUGGGAGGCAUGAUGUUUGUGUGGCUUAAUGACAUUAUAAAUAUAUGGUGAGCUGAAAUCCUGUUAAGUGGCUUAGCGACAGCGAUUGGGAAAGAGGAGUGUCUUCAGGCCUUACCCUUGGGGGUUGAUCUCCAUGAAAAUCGGGACAGAACUGAGCAAAGUGAUCCUGUGGCCUAUUAUGCUGGUAAAGGCCCAUGCAAUUUAAAAAGAUUCGAAGACAACUAUGGAUUUAAUAUGAAAAAACAUCUUAAUUGCAGAUAUUUACAAAAUUUAGAAGCAGUAGAUAUGCAAAAAUGAUAAAGCUUAUUUUCAAAACAUAAAAUUUUACAUCAAAAGAUUAAAGGUGCUAUACAAAAUGCUGUUUAGUGGAACUGACUUGGAAUGAUGUGUAGCAGGUGUUGGCAACCUUUUUUUGGCUGUGGGUUAAAAUCAACCACAAUGUGUGUAUUAAGAUGUUUUGGGCCAGUGGUGUUUUCAUUUUAAAACCAUCAGUUUGGGUGAAUAAUAAGUUUGUUUGAGAAAAUAAUUCUAAUAUGCUUUAAACUUUAAACGUAAAAAUUUAAAUUACAAUUUUACGUAUAAAAACAAACGUAAGUGAAUUUUAUUUAUAACAUUUUAAUAACAAAAGCAUCUGAAUUUUUGGUGUUUAAGCUCUGCCUGUUCUUACUUAAAAUAAAUUUUGUGUGUGAAAAUAUUUGCUUGCAUUUAUAAGUUGAACAAAAUGCCGAUUUUUUUCGCUACUGAAGUCAUUCUUGGACUACUGAACAUCUCAGAGUGCAUGAGGAGAAUUGAGCUAACAGUAUUAAUGUUCUCAGAUGUCAAAGAAUUAUAGAACAGCACUGCCAAACUUAUCAAUUUCUUCUUGAAAUUAUACUACAAUUUAAAUUUAAAAAUAAAAAUGUGUGUUCUUGACUGGAACUUUGUAAUCAAACAAAAAUGUUAUUGUUAUUUAGUUUCAAUUAAUGUUUUUAUAUAUUCUUCAAGUGUUUGUUUCAUAUUUGCCUUUUACCUUAUUUCUGAAACUGAAGUGGGUUGCUCUGUGACCUGUGGGUCAUAGAAUGCUCAGACCUGGUGUAUAAAAUUGUCAUCCUUUUUUCAUGAAAGUGCCUGCUGUCACAAGGGCCAAUUUGAAAGUUUUGCCAUAUGGUCAUUAUAAUCCUGGUUUUUGGUAUCUGUGUUUAGUAUCUUUGUCUCCUUUUGUCAUUCAACUGAUUGUCUGCUUCAUUUUAGUGUGCUUGCCCCCCCCCAAAAAAAACACCAUAUACGAGGGAUAAUAUGCAAGUUAGAUAAAAAAGUGCAGCCUUAACUUUUAGUCUCAGCAGCGAUGCAGUUCUUUCUGAAGAAGUACAGAAUUGCCUCAAUGAAGGCAAUGAUGCCUAGAUGCAUGAGGAGUUAUAGUUUUGGUGCUUUUUGGACUUUUCAUUGCUAUAAUUUAAAAAAAAAAACAGUCUUGGUUAGCUUUGAACCAUUUUUCUGAAUAAGUAUUAGAUGAGAAAUUUUACAUAUUCUGGAUGUUUCAGAAGUGAAAUAUUUAGAAGAAAUGUGGGAAUACAAAUUUUUUUUUUUUUUUUUUUUUUUUUUUUUUUUUGCUAAAAGUUGGAGAAUAGAAAAACUAAAAUAAUUUAAAUGGAUUGAAUUUCAUUGUUUCCUUUUGUUUUGGGGAGGGUUAGCACUCAUUACCUUUUUUUCCUACAGCUUAGAAACCAGCAGAAUAUAGCUAACACCAUGAAAUAUGUUCUAGAAGAAUCGGCAUGAUUGGUGGAAAAAUAAAUUACAAUAAAUAAAUAAAAAUAUAAAAUAUAUCAUAAGGGCAAAAAUUUUAAUGCUUCAGUUUAAAGCAUUUUUAUAAUGAGUUAAGCCAUCAUGUAAUUCCUUUUUUAUAGCAAUGUUUUUAAUUACAUAAAGCAAUGAAACGGUGCUUGAAAAUUUUUCAUCAUUAACAUAUUUUCAAAAAACUUAAUUUUAUGGAAUGCCUUUGUGUAUUCCUUGAUGGUUCCUUGAAUAUCAUGAUCUUCCUUUACGGCCAUAAAGACUGUUCAUCAUUUAAUACAGCUUUCAUGAGUCACACAUGUAGCUUGAAAGGUGAAGGUAGAAAAUUAUAGAGGAUUUAUUUUCAGCAUAUAAAAUUUCUGAGUUGAAUGAAUUGUGUGCUUUUAAAAGAUAUAGAGUGUUCCAAGCUUGUGGCAUCAUUCUGGCUGCUGCUAUGUAAAGAAUAUUCUUAACAUCAGCAUUCAGUAUGUUUAGUGACUAUAAGGAUGUGAUCAAAGUUCAUUUCUUAACUAUAUUUAUGUAAUAUAAAAUGAGCUGAAAACUUACCUCAUCUGAGAAAUCUUGUGAAGAGACCUUGCUUUGAUUACAAAAAUUAAUCUUUAUUUAUGUAUGUUAUAUUACUCACUUGAGGAAUGAACAUUGGACAUUUUUAUUGGUUGUCACUCUAGCAUCAUGUAUUUCAUAGAACUUGUUAUGUAAUAAUUAUGUAACAGGCAGAUGCAGACAUUCUUUUAAUAUAUUUUGUUAAUGGAAAGUGGGAAAACUAACUGACUGGAUUCUUGUGUCUCUAGGAUUAGAAUUAUUUGAUAGUUAAGCAGAGCAGAGCUCUCAUGACCAGUGAACAGCUGUCUCCUUUUGGUCAGUUAAGGAUAUUUCUUGAUGAAGAUAUCAGAUGUCCAGAAAAAUAUACAGUAAGAAACAUAAUCAGUUAUUUUUGUAAGCCUUAAAAAUGUUUCCUAUUAAAUUCUUUGUUUUCCUUGCA